GCGUGCGCGUGAAUGUGGACGGCUCGGCUUGGAGGUUCCGGCAGAGGAACUGCGAAUGCCCUCCGAGGGCGGAGGCGGCGCGGGGGGGUGGAAAUGCGACCGUAUACGGCUAAUCAGAGGCGCUGGCGGCCGUCCAUUAGCGACAUUUGCAUGACAAUAACGAGUAGAACGCGCAGACCCGAAACGCAUUAGAAAACGUACGGUGUUGCAUGGAGAGUUGAUUCACAAGUGAACAAUUUAGAGAGAACUUGUCAACUUUCAAAUUUUUGGACUAUGGGUGGAACCCAGAGGAUCCGGACAGAAACCCACACAAGCACGGGGAGAACCCAAAAAAGUGCGAUUGUUUUGUCAGAUGGGCUUCUGGACACGGCCGCAGCCUAAAUGAUGGAAGUUGAUGAGGCACUUUGCAGAAAAUGUGGUUUGUCCACGAGCUGCGGCCACGAUUAAUCAACCAAGGCGCACUCCGAAUAGGACAUGGAGCCGUUCCUGCGAAGAGAAACCUCAGGCGUUUCUAUGACAUCAUCAAAGCUCUGGAUGGUCUUAGACCUCAACAUACUCGAGACUUUUCGGGGUCAAGGGAUUUGAGUGUAACCAGAACCCAACUAAAGUGUUGUGUUUCCAUGUUCCUCACCUGUGGAAUAAACAUCCCGAAAAGCGGCCAGCUGCUCAAACUCCGUGUACAUUUAAAUCUCAGCUGGGAAUUGUUCAAUGUUUUUUCGUAUAUCAAGGAUAUUGUUAAUCUUUUAUAGUUUUGCCUUCAUUUUGAGAUUUUAAAAGUCAAAUCAGUGGCCCCUGACGCAUGUUGAAUUAAAAAAAAAAAAUGCUAAAAUGGAAGACUGGGUGUGUACGAGUUGCAUCAGUGGUUGGUAUCGGUGCGCUGAAUAAAAAAGGCUCGGAUCAGUACUCGGCCGUCCCUAUCCUUGAACAAGCAAAGAAAUCGUGAUUAAGAAGAUAAAAUCAUAACGAAUAAAAAAUGACAAAACACAGAAUACAAGUUAACAUCUCAUGCACUGCCAGUCGUCCACGUUAACGGAUAUUUAAACUCUGAAGCCGUCAAUGGCAGUAAAUGUUUUGCAGACGAGAAAAAAAAAGACUGAGUAAAUCCUUCUCGCUAGUAGUUGGCGUCACACAUUGCAGCGAUUUGGUAUCAAUGAAUCAUCAUUUGCGUCAGAAGGAAACAAAAGCUCUACUGUACGCUCACAAUUACAUGCGACUGUGCUACGCUUGUCAAUGCUUGUGCUGGUAUCAGUAUGAAAGAAGUUGUCCCAAAAACUGCUACAGAUUAAUUUGCCCUUUUGCAAUAAUGGUGCUGUUAUAAAUAAUCCCGUCUUGCCUUGUAUUACUUUACUACUACAGUCGUAGUUAG